GACGAACGCUGGCGGCGUGCUUAACACAUGCAAGUCGAACGGUAAGGCUCCAGCUUGCUGGGGUACACGAGUGGCGAACGGGUGAGUAACACGUGGGUGACCUGCCCUGCACUUCGGGAUAAGCCUGGGAAACUGGGUCUAAUACCGGAUAGGACUGCACCGUGAGGGUGUGGUGGAAAGUUUUUUCGGUGUGGGAUGGGCCCGCGGCCUAUCAGCUUGUUGGUGGGGUAAUGGCCUACCAAGGCGGCGACGGGUAGCCGGCCUGAGAGGGUGGACGGCCACAUUGGGACUGAGACACGGCCCAGACUCCUACGGGAGGCAGCAGUGGGGAAUAUUGCACAAUGGGCGGAAGCCUGAUGCAGCGACGCCGCGUGGGGGAUGACGGCCUUCGGGUUGUAAACUCCUUUCACCAUCGACGAAGGGUUUCUGACGGUAGAUGGAGAAGAAGCACCGGCUAACUACGUGCCAGCAGCCGCGGUAAUACGUAGGGUGCGAGCGUUGUCCGGAAUUACUGGGCGUAAAGAGCUCGUAGGUGGUUUGUCGCGUCGUCUGUGAAAUUCCGGGGCUUAACUCCGGGCGUGCAGGCGAUACGGGCAUAACUUGAGUACUGUAGGGGAGACUGGAAUUCCUGGUGUAGCGGUGAAAUGCGCAGAUAUCAGGAGGAACACCGGUGGCGAAGGCGGGUCUCUGGGCAGUAACUGACGCUGAGGAGCGAAAGCAUGGGGAGCGAACAGGAUUAGAUACCCUGGUAGUCCAUGCCGUAAACGGUGGGCGCUAGGUGUGGGUUUCCUUCCACGGGAUCCGUGCCGUAGCUAACGCAUUAAGCGCCCCGCCUGGGGAGUACGGCCGCAAGGCUAAAACUCAAAGGAAUUGACGGGGGCCCGCACAAGCGGCGGAGCAUGUGGAUUAAUUCGAUGCAAUGCGAAGAACCUUACCUGGGCUUGACAUAUACAGGAUCGCGCCAGAGAUGGUGUUUCCCUUGUGGCUUGUAUACAGGUGGUGCAUGGUUGUCGUCAGCUCGUGUCGUGAGAUGUUGGGUUAAGUCCCGCAACGAGCGCAACCCUUGUCUUAUGUUGCCAGCACGUUGUGGUGGGGACUCGUAAGAAACUGCCGGGGUUAACUCGGAGGAAGGUGGGGAUGACGUCAAAUCAUCAUGCCCCUUAUGUCCAGGGCUUCACACAUGCUACAAUGGUCGGUACAGUGGGUUGCCAGUCCGUGAGGGCGAGCUAAUCCCGCAAAGCCGGUCUCAGUUCGGAUCGGGGUCUGCAACUCGACCCCGUGAAGUCGGAGUCGCUAGUAAUCGCAGAUCAGCAACGCUGCGGUGAAUACGUUCCCGGGCCU
rnacentral:rRNA from 1 species